rnacentral:snRNA from 1 species
GUGCUCACUUCAGCAGCACAUGUACUAAAGUUGGAACAAUACAGAGAAGAUUAGCAUGGCCUCUGCACAAUGGACUAAAUUUGGUUUUCUGGCAAAGCUAUAACUAACU